AGAAUCAACGCUGGCGGCGUGCCUAACACAUGCAAGUCGAACGAGAAAGUGGAGCAAUCCAUGAGUAAAGUGGCGCACGGGUGAGUAACACGUGACUAACCUACCCUUGAGUGGGGAAUAACCUAGGGAACCUGGGCUAAUACCGCAUAACACCUACGGGUCAAAGGAGCAAUUCGCUUAAGGAGGGGUCGCGGCAGAUUAGCUAGUUGGCGGGGUAGUGGCCCACCAAGGCAGUGAUCGGUA
rnacentral:rRNA from 1 species